AGAGUUUGAUCAUGGCUCAGAACGAACGUUAGCGGCGNNCCUAAGACAUGCAAGUCGAGCGAGAAAGGGAUUCGUCCCCGGUAAAGCGGCGNNCGGGUGAGUAACACGUAGGUAAUCAACCCUCGGGCGGUGGAUAACUCUCCGAAAGGAGAGCUAAUACAGCAUGAAGCUAGCAAUAGCCAAAGCGGGCCUCUUCAUGAAAGCUCGCGCCGGAGGAUGAGCCUGCGGCCCAUCAGGUAGUUGGCGGAGUAACAGCCCACCAAGCCUAAGACGGGUAGCUGGUCUGAGAGGAUGAACAGCCACACUGGAACUGAGACACGGUCCAGACUCCUACGGGAGGCAGCAGUCGGGAAUCUUCCGCAAUGGGCGAAAGCCUGACGGAGCGACGCCGCGUGAGCGAUGAAGGCCUUCGGGUUGUAAAGCUCUGUGGGGAGAGAAGAAUAAGUUCAGGCGAAUACCCUGAAUGAUGACGGUAUCUCCUUAGCAAGCACCGGCUAACUCUGUGCCAGCAGCCGCGGUAAGACAGAGGGUGCAAACGUUGUUCGGAUUUACUGGGCGUAAAGCGCGUGUAGGCGGCUUGGCAAGUCGGAUGUGAAAGCCCACGGCUCAACCGUGGAAGCGCAUACGAAACUGCUUCGCUCGAGUCUCGGAGAGGAAGGUGGAAUGCUUGGUGUAGAGGUGAAAUUCGUAGAUAUCAAGCAGAACACCUGCGGCGAAGGCGGCCUUCUGGACGAUGACUGACGCUGAGACGCGAAGGCGUGGGGAGCAAACAGGAUUAGAUACCCUAGUAGUCC
rnacentral:rRNA from 1 species